rnacentral:tRNA from 2 species
GCGCCCGUAGCUCAGUGGAUAGAGCACCAGCCUCCGGAGCUGGGAGUCGCAAGUUCGAUCCUUGCCGGGCGCGCCA